CGGGGUGUAGCGCAGCCCGGUUAGCGCGCCUGCUUUGGGAGCAGGAAGCCGGGGGUUCAAAUCCCUCCACCCCGA
rnacentral:tRNA from 1 species